rnacentral:rRNA from 1 species
CCUACGGGUGGCAGCAGUGGGGAAUAUUGGGCAAUGGGCGCAAGCCUGACCCAGCAACGCCGCGUGAAGGAAGAAGGCUUUCGGGUUGUAAACUUCUUUUAUUGAGGACGAAACAAAUGACGGUACUCAAUGAAUAAGCCACGGCUAACUACGUGCCAGCAGCCGCGGUAAUACGUAGGUGGCAAGCGUUAUCCGGAUUUACUGGGUGUAAAGGGCGUGUAGGCGGGACUGCAAGUCAGAUGUGAAAACCAUGGGCUCAACCCAUGGCCUGCAUGUGAAACUGUAGUUAUUGAGUGAUGGAGAGGCAGGCGGAAUUCCGUGUGUAGCGGGGAAACGCGUAGAGAUACGGAGGAAGACCAGCGGCGAAGGCGGCCUGCUGGAUAUUAACGGACGCUGAGGCGCGCAAGCGUGGGGAGCAACCAGGAUUAGAGACCCCUGUAGGC